rnacentral:rRNA from 1 species
UACAGAGGGCCCGAGCGUUGUUCGGAUUCAUUGGGCGUAAAGGGUGCGUAGGCGGCGGGGUAAGUCUGAUGUGAAAUCCCGGGGCUCAACCCUGGAACUGCAUUGGAUACUGCCUUGCUUGAGAACUGGAGAGGAGACUGGAAUUUACGGUGUAGCAGUGAAAUGCGUAGAGAUCGUAAGGAAGACCAGUGGCGAAGGCGAGUCUCUGGACAGUAUCUGACGCUGAGGCACGAAGGCCAGGGGAGCAAACGGG